UACGUAGGGUGCGAGCGUUGCUCGGAAUCACUGGGCGUAAAGCGCACGUAGGCGGGUCUUUAAGUCAGGGGUGAAAUCCUGGAGCUCAACUCCAGAACUGCCUUUGAUACUGAGGAUCUUGAGUUCGGGAGAGGUGAGUGGAACUGCGAGUGUAGAGGUGAAAUUCGUAGAUAUUCGCAAGAACACCAGUGGCGAAGGCGGCUCACUGGCCCGAUACUGACGCUGAGGUGCGAAAGCGUGGGGAGCAAACAGGG
rnacentral:rRNA from 1 species